rnacentral:lncRNA from 1 species
CUCAACUCCGCCAAGCUGAUACAGGAGCAGCGGGUCACCAACCUGCAUGUGAAGGAGAUCGCACAGCACCUGGAACAGCAGAACGACCUACUGCAGAUGAUCCGCCGCUCCCAGGAAGUGCAGGCCUGUGCCCAGGAGCGCCAGGCCCAGGCCAUGGAGGGCACACAGGCUGCCCUGAGCGUCCUCAUCCAGGUCCUCCGGCCUAUGAUCAAAGAUUUCCGCCGCUACCUGCAGAGCAACACAGCUAACCCGGCCCCCGCCUCUGACCCUGGGCAGGUGGCCCAGAAUGGGCAGCCAGACAGCAUCAUCCAGUGAGGGCAGGGGUCAGGCCAGCCUUCUGCCAUGAUGGGAUGAAAACUCCAUGGACUUACUCACCAUCAAUUACCAAGGCCCUUGCAUCUCCCCAGAUCGUUUCCCAAGUUUGGCGAUUUGCUGUCGGUGCCUCAGCCACAUAUGACCAAUGGUUACAACUCAGGGCUCCAGACCUCAGCUAAAAAGAGAAGACGCUGCCCUCCUGGGCACGAACGUUUAGAAUGCUCAACUCCUCUAUUGUGACCACAGGAAGGUGGCCCUGAAGAUGCACCGAAGACAGCUGGGAGGUGACUGCUGUACUGUCAGCCUCUCUGUGGAGGCAUUCGUGCAGUGCCAGCUAAAAGGGAGGUGAAGGGGGAUAUCGGACCCAGCGAGGGAGUUGCUGGUAGAAGGAAAGCUCUUCUCAGUGUGGCUGGAUUAAGAGCAGCCUAGCAGCUUGGGCACCUCCACUCUGUGCGGUCUGAUGGCCCCAGCAAGGUCGCUGCAGGGACUUCCUGAGGACUUGGUUUGGUUUUUUUCUGGGGUUGGAAAUCUGAGCCAAUAUUGUGUCUGUUCCAUUUGGGUAUGAAGAGGAAGUCUGGAUCACUUAAACUGACUAGUUAUUUCCGGGUCAUAAUUUUAAAUUAAAGACAUAUCACUUUUUUAUACACA